UACAGGACGAACGCUGGCGGCAUGCUUCAUACAUGCAAGUCGAACGAUAAGGUCUCUUCGGAGAUACAUAAGUGGCGGACGGGUGAGUAAUAUGUAGGAAAUCUGCCCUAGAGAGGGGGACAACAGAGGGAAACUUCUGCUAAUACCCCAUAUGAGCGUACCUGAAAUGGUAUUCUUGAAAACUCCGGUGCUCUAGGAUGAGCCUGCAUCUGAUUAGCUUGUUGGCGGUGUAAUGGACCACCAAGGCGACGAUCAGUAGCUGGUUUGAGAGGAUGAUCAGCCACAAUGGGACUGAGACACGGCCCAUACUCCUACGGGAGGCAGCAGUAGGGAAUUUUGCGCAAUGGGCGAAAGCCUGACGCAGCAAUGCCGCGUGAACGUAGAAGCCCUUCGGGGUGUAAAGUUCUGUCAGUGGGGACGAAUUUUGACGGUACCCACAGAGGAAGCACCGGCUAACUCCGUGCCAGCAGCGGC
rnacentral:rRNA from 1 species